rnacentral:lncRNA from 1 species
UCGAACGAGUCAUAUGUCACCGGAUCAACAGAAUAACAAAAUCGAUACGUGAUAAACAAAACUGUCAUUGGCGUCGUUCCGAAAAUUUUACGCCUAAUUCUUUUACGAAGUUCUGUCAAAUCUAUAUUCUAGUUAAAAACCAGUCGCACCAUAUUCUCGGACAAAAAAAUAAUACCAUUCUCGGUGUGGCAAACCUCAC